CCUACGGGUGGCAGCAGUGAGGAAUAUUGGUCCAUGGGCGCGAGCCUGAACCAGCCAAGUAGCGUGAAGGAUGACUGCCCUACGGGUUGUAAACUUCUUUUAUAAAGGAAUAAAGUGAGACACGUUUGCCUUUUUGUAUGUACUUUAUGAAUAAGGAUCGGCUAACUCCGUGCCAGCAGCCGCGGUAAUACGGAGGAUCCGAGCGUUAGCCGGAUUUAUUGGGUUUAAAGGGAGCGUAGAUGGGUUGUUAAGUCAGUUGUGAAAGUCUGCGGCUCAACCGUAAAAUUGCAAUUGAUACUGGCAGCCUAGAGUACAGUUGAGGUAGGCGGAAUUCAUGGUGUAGCGGUGAAAUGCGUAGAUAGCACGAAGAACUCCGAUUGCGAAGGCAGCCUACUAAACUGCCACUGACAUUGAGGCUCGAAAGUGUGGGUAUCAAACAGGAUUAGAUACCCUUGUAGUC
rnacentral:rRNA from 1 species